GGCCGACUAGCUCAGCUGGUUAGAGCGUCGUGCUAAUAUUCUACAUAUUGGACGCGAAGGUCUUGGGUUCGAUCCCCACGUUGGCCA
rnacentral:tRNA from 1 species